GAUUGUAACGGACGUGGUCGGCGAUGCCUUACACACUGUCAAGUCGAACGGCGAGCGGGGACGUUCGGUCCGCCGGCGAGUGGCGAACGGGUGAGUAAAGUAUCGGAACGUACCUUUCAGUGGGGGAGUAACGUAGCGAAAGUUGCGCUAAUACCGCAUAUUCUGUGAGCAGGAAAGCAGGGGAUCGCAAGACCUUGCGCUGAUUGAGCGGCCGAUAUCAGAUUAGCUAGUUGGUGGGGUAAAGGCCUACCAAGGCGACGAUCUGUAGCGGGUCUGAGAGGAUGAUCCGCCACACUGGAACUGAGACACGGUCCAGACUCCUACGGGAGGCAGCAGUGGGGAAUUUUGGACAAUGGGGGCAACCCUGAUCCAGCCAUGCCGCGUGAGUGAAGAAGGCCUUCGGGUUGUAAAGCUCUUUCGGCCGGGAAGAAAAUCGCAUAGGUUAAUACCCUGUGUGGAUGACGGUACCGGAAUAAGAAGCACCGGCUAACUACGUG
rnacentral:rRNA from 1 species